rnacentral:rRNA from 1 species
GUCCACGCCCUAAACGAUGUCAACUAGUUGUCGGGGAAGUUAUUCCUUGGUAACGAAGCUAACGCGUGAAGUUGACCGCCUGGGGAGUACGGCCGCAAGGUUAAAACUCAAAGGAAUUGACGGGGACCCGCACAAGCGGUGGAUUAUGUGGAUUAAUUCGAUGCAACGCGAAAAACCUUACCUACCCUUGACAUGUCAGUAACCUCGCAGAGAUGUGAGGGUGCCCGAAAGGGAACCUGAACACAGGUGCUGCAUGACUGUCGU